GAUCAACGCUGGCGGCGUGCCUAAUGCAUGCAAGUCGAGCGGGGUGGCCUUCGGGUCACUUACGCGGCGGACGGGUGCGGAACACGUGGGCAGCCUGCCCCGAGGUGGGGGAUAGCCGGUGGAAACACCGGGUAAUUCCGCAUGAGGUCACUGGUCGGAGGACUGGUGAGGAAAGGGUCUUUUGACUCGCCUUGGGAGGGGCCUGCGGCCGAUUAGCUAGACGGUGGGGUAACGGCCUACCGUGGCGAUGAUCGGUAGCUGGUCUGAGAGGACGGCCAGCCACACGGGGACUGAGACACGGCCCCGACUCCUACGGGAGGCAGCAGCAAGGAAUCUUCCGCAAUGGGCGAAAGCCUGACGGAGCAACGCCGCGUGUGGGAUGACGCCUUUCGGGGUGUAAACCACUUUUCUCAGGGAAGAAUUCUGACGGUACCUGAGGAAUAAGGACCGGCUAACUACGUGCCAGCAGCCGCCGUAAUAC
rnacentral:rRNA from 1 species